UUUCGGGCUUUAUUUGCGCAGGAUAGGUGGGAGGCUUUGAGAGUGUUUUUGAGGGAACAUUUGAGCCAUUGGUGAGAUACCACUCUUAUAAAGCUAGAAUUCUAACCUUAUACCGUUAGCCGGUUAAGGAACAGUCUCUGGUGGGCAGUUUGACUGGGGCGGUCGCCUCCUAAAAGGUAACGGAGGCGCACAAAGGUUUCCUCAGAUCGGUCAGAAAUCGAUCGUAGAGCGUAAAGGCAUAAGGAAGCUUGACUGCGAGACCUACAAGUCGAGCAGAGACGAAAGUCGGUCUUAGUGAUCUGACGGUUCCGAGUGGAAGGGCCGUCACUCAGCGGAUAAAAGUUACUCUAGGGAUAACA
rnacentral:rRNA from 1 species